AAUUCGCCCUUGAGCACGUAGGUGGGUUUGUAAGUCAGGUGUGAAAGCCUUCUGUUCAACGGGAGAAUUGCAUCUGAAACUACGAAUCUUGAGUGUAGGAGGGGAGAAUGGAACUUCUGGUGGAGCGGUGCAAUGCGUAGAUAUCAGAAGGAACGCCGGCGGCGAAAGCGAUUCUCUGGCCUAUUACUGACACUCAGUGUGCGAAAGCUAGGGGAGCAAACGGGAUUAGAUACCCCGGUAGUCCUAGCCGUAAACGAUGGGCACUAAGUAGAGGGGAUUACCGACGUUCUCUCUGCCGUAGCUAACGCAUUAAGUGCCCCGCCUGGGGAGUACGGCCGCAAGGCUAAAACUCAAAAGAAUUGACGGGGGCUCGCACAAGCGGUGGAGCAUGUGGCUUAAUUCGAUGCAACGCGAAGAACCUUACCGGGGCUUGACAUGGUAGAAGUAGGAACCCGAAAGGGUAACGAACGGUAUCCAGUCCGUGACUAUCACAGGUGUUGCAUGGCUGUCGUCAGCUCGUGUCGUGAGACGUUGGGUUAAGUCCCCUAACGAGCGAAACCCUUGUUUUUAGUUACCAGCGGGUUAUGCCGGGUACUCUAGAAAGACUGCCGUCGUCAAGACGGAGGAAGGUGGGGAUGACGUCAAGUCAUCAUGGCCCUUAUGCCCCGGGCUGCACACGUGCUACAAUGGUCGGUACAAACGGAAGCGAAGCCGAGAGGUGAAGCGAAUCCAAGGGCGAAUU
rnacentral:rRNA from 1 species